rnacentral:rRNA from 1 species
UACGUAGGUGACAAGCGUUGUCCGGAUUUACUGGGCGUAAAGAGCGCGCAGGCGGUCGAUCAAGUCGGGUGUGAAAGCCCCCGGCUCAACUGGGGAGGGUCAUUCGAUACUGAUCGACUCGAAGGCAGGAGAGGGUAGUGGAAUUCCCGGUGUAGUGGUGAAAUGCGUAGAUAUCGGGAGGAACACCAGUGGCGAAGGCGACUACCUGGCCUGUUAUUGACGCUGAGGCGCGAAAGCUAGGGGAGCAAACGGG